GAUGAACGCUGGCGGCGUGCUUAACACAUGCAAGUCGAACGAUGAAGCCCAGCUUGCUGGGUGGAUUAGUGGCGAACGGGUGAGUAACACGUGAGUAACCUGCCCUUGACUCUGGGAUAAGCCUGGGAAACUGGGUCUAAUACUGGAUAUGACUUCUCAUCGCAUGGUGGGGGGUGGACAGCUUUAUUGGUCUUGGAUGGACUCGCGGCCUAUCAGCUUGUUGGUGAGGUAAUGGCUCACCAAGGCGACGACGGGUAGCCGGCCUGAGAGGGUGACCGGCCACACUGGGACUGAGACACGGCCCAGACUCCUACGGGAGGCAGCAGUGGGGAAUAUUGCACAAUGAGCGCAAGCCUGAUGCAGCGACGCCGCGUGAGGGAUGACGGCCUUCGGGUUGUAAACCUCUUUCAGUAGGGAAGAAGCGAGAGUGACGGUACCUGCAGAAGAAGCGCCGGCUAACUACGUG
rnacentral:rRNA from 1 species